rnacentral:rRNA from 1 species
AACAAGCUGGAAAGCUUGGCGAUACAGGGUGAUAGCCCCGUAACCGACGCUUCAUCGAGCGUGAAAUCGAGUAGGGCGGGACACGUGAUAUCCUGUCUGAAUAUGGGGGGACCAUCCUCCAAGGCUAAAUACUCCUGACUGACCGAUAGUGAACCAGUACCGUGAGGGAAAGGCGAAAAGAACCCCUGUGAGGGGAGUGAAAUAGAACCUGAAACCGUGUACGUACAAGCAGUAGGAGCACCUUCGUGGUGUGACUGCGUACCUUUUGUAUAAUGGGUCAGCGACUUAUAUUCAGUGGCAAGGUUAACCGUAUAGGGGAGCCGUAGCGAAAGCGAGUCUUAACUGGGCGCUCAGUCUCUGGAUAUAGACCCGAAACCGGGUGAUCUAGCCAUGGGCAGGUUGAAGGUUGAGUAACAUCAACUGGAGGACCGAACCGACUAAUGUUGAAAAAUUAGCGGAUGACUUGUGGCUAGGGGUGAAAGGCCAAUCAAACUCGGAGAUAGCUGGUUCUCCCCGAAAGCUAUUUAGGUAGCGCCUCGGACGAAUACUACUGGGGGUAGAGCACUGUUAAGGCUAGGGGGUCAUCCCGACUUACCAACCCUUUGCAAACUCCGAAUACCAGUAAGUACUAUCCGGGAGACACACGGCGGGUGCUAACGUCCGUCGUGGAGAGGGAAACAACCCAGACCGCCAGCUAAGGUCCCAAAGUAUUGCUAAGUGGGAAACGAUGUGGGAAGGCUCAGACAGCUAGGAUGUUGGCUUAGAAGCAGCCAUCAUUUAAAGAAAGCGUAAUAGCUCACUAGUCGAGUCGGCCUGCGCGGAAGAUGUAACGGGGCUAAGCAAUACACCGAAGCUGCGGCAAUAUCUUUUAGAUAUUGGGUAGGGGAGCGUUCUGUAAGCCGUUGAAGGUGAAUCGUAAGGUUUGCUGGAGGUAUCAGAAGUGCGAAUGCUGACAUGAGUAACGACAAAGGGGGUGAAAAACCUCCUCGCCGGAAGACCAAGGGUUCCUGUCCAACGUUAAUCGGGGCAGGGUGAGUCGACCCCUAAGGUGAGGCCGAAAGGCGUAAUCGAUGGGAAACGGGUUAAUAUUCCCGUACUUCUGACUAUUGCGAUGGGGGGACGGAGAAGGCUAGGUGGGCCAGGCGACGGUUGUCCUGGUUCAAGUGCGUAGGCUUGAGAGUUAGGUAAAUCCGGCUCUCUCUAAGGCUGAGACACGACGUCGAGCUGCUACGGCAGUGAAGUCAUUGAUGCCAUGCUUCCAGGAAAAGCCUCUAAGCUUCAGAUAGUCAGGAAUCGUACCCCAAACCGACACAGGUGGUCGGGUAGAGAAUACCAAGGCGCUUGAGAGAACUCGGGUGAAGGAACUAGGCAAAAUGGUACCGUAACUUCGGGAGAAGGUACGCUCUUGAUGGUGAAGUCCCUCGCGGAUGGAGCUGACGAGAGUCGCAGAUACCAGGUGGCUGCAACUGUUUAUUAAAAACACAGCACUGUGCAAAAUCGCAAGAUGACGUAUACGGUGUGACGCCUGCCCGGUGCCGGAAGGUUAAUUGAUGGGGUUAGCGCAAGCGAAGCUCUUGAUCGAAGCCCCGGUAAACGGCGGCCGUAACUAUAACGGUCCUAAGGUAGCGAAAUUCCUUGUCGGGUAAGUUCCGACCUGCACGAAUGGCGUAAUGAUGGCCACGCUGUCUCCACCCGAGACUCAGUGAAAUUGAAAUCGCUGUGAAGAUGCAGUGUACCCGCGGCUAGACGGAAAGACCCCGUGAACCUUUACUACAGCUUGGCACUGAACAUUGAACCUACAUGUGUAGGAUAGGUGGGAGGCUAUGAAGACGUGACGCCAGUUGCGUUGGAGCCGUCCUUGAAAUACCACCCUUGUAUGUUUGAUGUUCUAACUUAGACCCAUUAUCUGGGUUGAGGACAGUGCCUGGUGGGUAGUUUGACUGGGGCGGUCUCCUCCCAAAGAGUAACGGAGGAGCACGAAGGUGGGCUAAUCACGGUUGGACAUCGUGAGGUUAGUGCAAUGGCAUAAGCCCGCUUAACUGCGAGAAUGACGGUUCGAGCAGGUGCGAAAGCAGGUCAUAGUGAUCCGGUGGUUCUGUAUGGAAGGGCCAUCGCUCAACGGAUAAAAGGUACUCCGGGGAUAACAGGCUGAUACCGCCCAAGAGUUCAUAUCGACGGCGGUGUUUGGCACCUCGAUGUCGGCUCAUCACAUCCUGGGGCUGAAGUCGGUCCCAAGGGUAUGGCUGUUCGCCAUUUAAAGUGGUACGCGAGCUGGGUUUAGAACGUCGUGAGACAGUUCGGUCCCUAUCUGCCGUGGGCGUUGGAAGAUUGAAGGGGGCUGCUCCUAGUACGAGAGGACCGGAGUGGACGAACCUCUGGUGUUCGGGUUGUGUCGCCAGACGCAUUGCCCGGUAGCUAAGUUCGGAAUUGAUAAGCGCUGAAAGCAUCUAAGCGCGAAGCGAGCCCUGAGAUGAGUCUUCCCUGACAGUUUAACUGUUCUAAAGGGUUGUUCGAGACUAGAACGUUGAUAGGCAGGGUGUGUAAGCGUUGUGAGGCGUUGAGCUAACCUGUACUAAUUGCCCGUGAGGCUUAACCA